rnacentral:rRNA from 1 species
AUUGAACGCUGGCGGCAGGCCUAACACAUGCAAGUCGAACGAGUGGCGGACGGGUGAGUAAUGUCUGGGAAACUGCCUGAUGGCGGGGGAUGACUACUGGAAACGGUAGCUAAUACCGCAUACCAUCGGAUGUGCCCAGAUGGGAUUAGCUAGUAGGUGGGGUAACGGCUCACCUAGGCGACGAUCCCUAGCUGGUCUGAGAGGAUGACGAGCCACACGUGAACUGAGACACGGUCCAGACGCCUACGGGAGGAAGCAGUGGGGAAUAGUGCACAAUGGGCGCAAGCCUGAUGCAGCCAUGCCGCGUGUAUGAAGAAGGCCUUCGGGUUGUAAAGUACUUUCAGCGGGGAGGCGUUACCCGCAGAAGAAGCACCGGCUAACUCCGUGCCAGCAGCCGCGGUAAUAC